CGAGGAAGGGAGGAAUUGAACCCCCAUAUGCUGGUUUCAAGCCAGCCACAUAACCACUCUGCCACUUCCUU
rnacentral:tRNA from 2 species